GGCGUGGUAGCCAAGUGGUAAGGCAAGAGUCUGCAAAACUCUUAUACGCGGGUUCGAUUCCCACCCACGCCUCCC
rnacentral:tRNA from 1 species